rnacentral:lncRNA from 8 species
GUGCUAAGGCGCUCAGGUGGAGAGUGAGGAAGAAACACACGUUUGUUUUUUUAAAGCGUUUUUUAGAUGGUUCACAAACCUUAUGUCUUUUUUGAUAAACAUGCACUUUUAACCUGGGAUGCAAAACAUAACAAAACCAUGACUUUGAAAAGUGAACAAAUACCAGAGACAUAUAACGAGAGGUAUAUCAGUGUUUUUUUAUAGAAAGGAAGCCUCGCCUACCAUUUCUGGAAGUGGAACAAUUAGCCAAACUCUAACGUGAGUUCUAUAAAGCAUAAACAUUGUGACUGAAACACUGAAGCUGGUCAAUAAGGACAACAUUGAUUGAGACAGUGCCUCAGAUGAAUUUAGAGACAGUGCCUCAGAUGAAUUUAGAGACAGUGCCUCAGAUGAAUUUAGAGACAGUGCCUCAGAUGAAUUUAGAGACAGUGCCUCAGAUGAAUUUAGAGACAGUGCCUCAGAUGAAUUUAGAGACAGUGCCUCAGAUGAAUUUAGAGACAGUGCCUCAGAUGAAUUUGGGAACCACACAACGAAAGAGUGCAAUUGGAGAGGAGGGAGAAAGAGGAGGAGAGGAAGAAGAAGAAGAAGGGGGAAAGAUGGGGAGGGGGAAAGAAAGCAGGAGGCCUUUCUAACACAGUCUAGCCAAGUCCUGGGCACUGGACAUUCCCGGAAAGCUCAGCGCAUGAGGGUCUCCAUGGAAACGGCCGUCACGGCCACAUUGAUUGGGUAAGAAGUGAAAGCUCUGAGUAGGUUCCGCAGUAGAGAGACACCAGAGGACUGAGGGAACGGGAGGAGUCUAGUCUGUGAAAGACAACAAAGAAUCUUCAGUAGGUUCUAGAGAGGAGGUCACCCAUGAACAACAACCAUGGAGGGGAACAUGAUUACAACAGCGGGGACCGGAACCGGAGCUGACUCUGUAACCAUGGUAACAGGUCCCACUGGCACCCCGGAUCUCCAGGUUCUGACCCACAGAGUGAAGCUUCUAGAGCACAGCCUGAGAGACAACGUCAGCUCCUUCACUGAGUCUGAGAGCGCUCUGCACAACAGGAUUAGAGAGUUGGAGGUGUCAGAACAGAGCCUGCUACAGAAGGUGGAGGACCUUACUGCCAACUCAGUCCUCCACUGCCCCAGCAUGCUGCAGCGCCAGAGGCUGGACGAGCGGCUCCACACGCUGAGGGAGGAGGUACGCUCCAUGUCCCAGGAGAAGGAGCGUGGGGAUCGUGUGUGGAGGGAGAGGCUGCGGCGCUGCCAGGCCCAGCUCAGGGCUAAAGAAGAGGAGAUGGGCCGCCAGUCUCAGUACUUUGAGCACUUUAAGAGCCAGCUGCACCACAAGCUAGACCUGGCCAGAGACAGGGAGCAGGGCCUGCAGACCAGACUCCACCAGCUGGAGCGACAGGUGCUGGAGAUGAACGUAUCUGCUGCCACCUACAUAGUCCCUGUCAACACAGCUAGCACCAACUCCGUUACUGCAGCCAAUGUCAAUCCCAUCAUAGUACCAACCUCAGGCCAACAGAGAACAGAGACAGAGAGACUGCCCCACCCAAGGGAGGAAGGAGAAGGAGAGGAGGAGGACGGUGAGGAGAAGACACAGCGGAGACACUACGGACAACAGCUCCAGCAGAAGCAGGGAGCGGAUGAUAGAGAAAUAGAGGGAGAAAGAGAGGGGGAGGAAGAGGGUGAGAGUCUGGGGGGUGAGGCUAGACUGAGAAGCUUCAUCCUCAGCCUCCAGGAGGACCUCCGGGGUCUGCUGGAGAGGGAGGAGCAGGAGCUGGCGGAGCAGAGGGGGCUGAUGGAACAGCUGCAGGAAGCGCAGGAGAACAACCACUUCUUGUCCUGUACGUUGGAGGAGAUGAGGACGGUGGUCCACAGACUGAAGCUGACAGAGAGCUCCCUGAUGGAGGAGGUGGAGGAGCUGCAAGAGGAGAACCAGAGACUGUGUCAGAGGCUCAGCCACACCCUGAGACAGACCAACCACAGCCUGGGUUCUACUGACCCCAGCCCUGUCUCUACCCCCAGCCUGGCUACCUCCCUGACAAACGCCCCUGGCCUGAGUCAACCAGUUCCCUGCUCUGUGGACAACACUGACCCGGUGAAGAUGAUCCCAGGCCAGUCUUCACUAGACACACCUCCCUCUGCUCAUCACCAUGGAGCAACAGAGAGGUCACAGGAAAACUCCACUCUGCCUCUGCCCCAGCCGGACCUCCUGAACCUCUCAGGCCACCGUAGCCAGAACCCCUGCCUCAUAUCCCUGGGUACUAAGAGCAUUGAGGGUCUGGGGGAGUUGACCCUGAGGGACUGGUGUCCUGGUCCUGGGGGCGUCCCCUCUCUAAACCUGGAGGAGGGGACAAGCGAGGAGACUGAGGCCCUGAGAGAGGCUUACAGGAGCAUGGGGGGCGACAUGGACUCACUCCGGGACCACAGGGACCAGCUGGAGAGCACGCUACGACACACACAGGACCAGCUGCACAGGGUGACCGAGGAGAACGCCCAACUGAAAUGUAAACUCAGGGCGCAGGGAGAAACAGGGGCCUGCGAGGUGGAGCAGGGGUCCUCGCUUGUAGGCGAGAGCAUGACAAAUGUCCAGGAAAACAAGGUGCCAACUCCAAACCUAAUACCCCAGGGGAGCAGAGAGCUCACUGCAACUCCAUAUCAGAAUGAUACUAUCCUAGCCUUAGCCCAGGAUGACCUGUCCCUGUAUGCCUUAGCCCAGGAUGACCUAGCCCUAGCCUUGAACCAGGAGAACCGGGCCCUGGGCAGGCGUAUCCAGGAGCUCCUAGCCCACAUAGAGCGCCAGGAGGGGGAGAGUGAGAGGGAGCUAGUCCAGCUCAGGCUACAGGUGUCCCUGCUAGAGAGGGAGAGCACCAGGCUGGAGCAGGAGAACCAGGAGCAGGGAGGUCUCAUCACUGAGCUGACCAGGAAGACUGAGGAUGACCUCAACACUAUCAUAGAGCUGCAGGAAAGACGGGUCGAGAGCAGUCAGCUAGGCCUACAGCAGGAGGACCGUUUGACCACGGAGUCAACGUGCAGGCUUAGAGAGAACAGGGACGAGCUGAUUGGCUAUCUCAGUGAUCUCAAAGAGGAAAGAGAACAGGUGUCCCUCUCACUUAGCAGUCAAACAGAGGAGAAACACCAGCUAACGCGCUCCAUGUGGGUUCUGAAAGAAGAACGCGACCAGAUCCAUAAGUCACUCUGCAGUUUAAAAGAAGAGAAAGAACAGCUGACAAGGUCCCUCUGUGGUCUGAAAGAUGAGAGAGACAAGGUGAUGCGGUCAAUGUGUGGUUUAAAAGAGGGGAGAGAUCAGCUAGUUCAGUCAAUGUCUGGACUCCAGGAGGAGAGACACCAGCCAGUUCAGUCAAUGUCUGGACUCCAGGAGGAGAGAGACCAGCUAGUUCAGUCAAUGUCUGGACUCCAGGAGGAGAGACACCAGCCAGUUCAGUCAAUGUCUGGACUCCAGGAGGAGAGAGACCAGCUAGUUCAGUCAAUGUCUGGACUCCAGGAGGAGAGAGACCAGCUAGUUCAGUCAAUGUCUGGACUCCAGGAGGAGAGAGACCAGCUAGUUCAGUCAAUGUCUGGACUCCAGGAGGAGAGAGACCAGCUAGUUCAGUCAGUGACUGGACUCCAGGAGGAGAGAGACCAGCUAGUUCAGUCAAUGUCUGGACUCCAGGAGGAGAGAGACCAGCUAGUUCAGUCAAUGUCUGGACUCCAGGAGGAGAGAGACCAGCUAGUUCAGUCAAUGUCUAGACUCCAGGAGGAGAGAGACAAGCUCUUGCAGUCUCUCUUCAGCCAAAAAGAUGAGAGAGACCAGUUGAUGCAGUCAAUGUGUGGUUUAAAGGGACAGAGGGACCAGCUAACACAGACACUCAGCCGUCUAGAGCAGGAGAGAGACAAGCUGUCAUCUCUCAGUCUUCAAACACGAAAGAGGUACCAGGUGGACCAGUUUGUCUCUGAUCUAAAAGAAGAGAAGGAGCAGCUAGUUCAGUCAAUGGAUGUUCUGAGAGAACAGAGAGAACAGCUCACAGAGGAGAGAGACCAGUUGCAGAUGGACGUCGCUACUCUACGGAAUCAGCUGCUGUUACAGGGGCGGAGCCACAACCAGCAGCCCUCAGAGAACCAUGUUGGCAAGGCAACACGCACAGAGGUUGUGGCUACAGAGAGAGGGGGUCAGAUGCCAAAAACGCAUGAUGAUGGUGAUGUCACUCAUAGAUGCCUGGCCACGGUCUACUCCUACAAGACCAUCCGUCUGGCGCAGUCUGCACAGGACCAUUUGGGAGAGAAAGAGGGAACAGAUGUGGAGCAGAGUGGACUGAUGAGGGAGAUCGAGUCGCUGGGGUUAGAACUCAGAAGCUCACGAGAGGUACUGAAGAAGACCCAAUCAGAGUUGGGAGAGGUGAAGAGCAGACUAGUGGGUCUGGAGAGAGAGAAGACCGAUGCUCACUCACUAAGGAUCAAGAUCGAAGAGAAGUUCAGCUUGCUUCAGGCUGAACUCAAAGCCAAGAGUGUUGCUCUGAAGGAGCUGAGUUCAGAGUACACAUCUCUGAAGAGAGAGCAGGGCAGCAGAGAGGACUGGAGCAACACACUCACCUUACUGAGGGUGCGCUAUGAUGACAUCAGAGCUAAGUACAACGUUCUCCUGAGAAAGAGUCAGACGGACCAGGACAUAGCUCCUCUAAAGGCCAAGCUGUCAUGUCUGGUGGGGAAGUGCCAGCAGAGGAACAGUCUACUGGUGCAGUUGAUGCGAGCCCUGCGUCGGUAUGGCUGCCUGGACUACAAUCUGACCCAGGAGGCUGAGGACCUGCUUAACGACACAGCGCUGCAGGACUACGCCAGCACCUUCACACCCCCAUCCACUGCAGCUCUGCAGGAGAACACCCCCCUUCUCCCACCUGCAGCCUCAGAACGACCGGAGCGCUCACAGACCUCUGCUGCAGCCUCCACAGCACAGGAGCUGAGUAAAGCUGUGUCUGAAGGCAGUAGGAGGGAACACUUCAGAGUGUGUGUGGCCACAGCAGACUACUGCCCCUCUCCGAACAUGCCUCACACUCUACUGCCAAUGCUUCCCCUUUCUGCGGGUGAAUCAGUCCAAGUCACUGGACUCCCAGACAGACGUGGGAUGUACCAUGCCGAGGUGAAAGGGAAGUCUGGCCUGGUCCCUGCCCGUUUCUUAGAGGAGAAUGGGAGACCACUCAUCCUGACUUCCCCCUCGCCAGAGAGAUGUGCCAGUCUGACUAGGAAGCUGACCAGUCCAGGGAAGAUCAUCAACCUUCACCAGCAGUUGCAGAACACUCUCUCCAACAGCUACCAGGUUUUCCCUUCCAAGACCAGCCCCCAGGUUUACUCCAGUCCCCCUUCAGGACAGGGGUACUCCCCAGGAUACCCCAACCACAACCCUUCUGCCCCCAACCGACCCAAGCAUACCCUUGUAGCAACUACCCCUAUUAUUACUACUACUAGUCUCCUAUCUACCACUGCCCCCACUAAAACUACCAGUGAUGGUGCUACCUCUCCUAAGCAGACCCCAAACAGAGCACAUCCAACUACCAACCCUCCUGUCCACACCACCACCACCACUACUGCUCUUAGCAGUGGUAAAGAACCCCUCUCUAAAACUGUCUCUAUUGCUGCUACCUCCAAUGUUACAACCCCUGUUAAUACCCCUCCUACCGCUGUGGCCCAGACUGCUAAAGCACAAACUACCACUGCCUUGUGGAACACUGCCCCCACCAAAUCUGCCCCUUCAACUAUUACCGCUGGAACUACAGCCCCCACCAAAAUGGCCCCCAUCACUACUGCUCUUUCCCUUGCUGAGUUGUCACGACUGCCUGAUGAGGACCAUUGCAUCAAGAAGCCCCUCGCAAUCCUCCAACCUGAACAAGCUAAGCCAACCAAACCCAGAGCUAUACCAGAACCUCCAGCUGAGGUGGGCUCUGUUGAGGUCCUCAGGACUGUGGGACAGAGCAGCCUCAUGAUUGGUUGGGAGAGACCGCCACUGGAUGAGCUGGGCUGCAGCAACGGAACCUUUGUGUAUGGAUACAUGGUAGGCUGCUCCUCUCGCCUUGGAUACAUUAGAAUGUAA